rnacentral:tRNA from 1 species
CAGGGAGACAACAAAAUGUUUAAUAUUAUUAUUUUGUCACCUUAGGUCGAUCGGUAUCUCACGUUCUUAUUUAAUUAAGAAUUUCAUUUCCUAAGUUUUUUCUAGGUCACACCCAUUAUUUUCCUGGGCCAUUAGCUCAGGUGGUUAGAGCGCACCCCUGAUAAGGGUGAGGUCCCUGGUUCAAGUCCAGGAUGGCCCAUAUCUCUAUGUUGGGGGUAUAGCUCAGUUGGUAGAGCGCCUGCUUUGCAAGCAGGAUGUCAGCGGUUCGAGUCCGCUUACCUCCACUGAUUACCUCCUCUUCCAUAUUCUGUAGAAAGGGAAAUUUUGUGUUGUGAUCGUAAUUCUGAACGAAUCUAGCUUCCUAAUGAAACCAUUAAGAUGCUGGACUCAUUGAAUUAAUUUCAUUGUUUUCAGAGAACCUUGACAACUGCAUAGAUUAUUUUAAAGACAAUAAGCAUCUUUAGUGAUGCAGAUUUAUUAUUUAUGCAAAUGCAUUUAUAACAAUUCUAUUAAGCUGAUGCUUCAAUUAUGAAGUUAUU